UUUUUUUUUUUUUUUUUUUUUUUUUACGAAAGAGGUACUAAUGAAAAGCAUUUAAAAAAAAAUUCCAUAAUGAUUCAGAUGUGGAGUCAGCUUAAAUCAAAGAUCCACGUGGUCUGGUUGCCACCAAUUGGACAGAAAGCUGUGUGGUUCUCCCUUUUAGUAGCCUAGAUACAUACUUCCGAGUAUGUCUCCUGGGAGCAGAGUUGAAAGUGUGGGUUUAUGUUAACCGGCUGUGGCAGGGACAAGGAAAGGGGUAGGUCUGUUGGAAAAAGGUCUUCAUGAAGUGAAGAGCGUAGCACUCUCAGAAACCUCUCACCCAGAGACGUGUUGCUCUCCAAGAAAACAAUGGAAUGCCCGACCAGAAAGAAGCUAGGGAAGCGCUUAAAACUCUCAGAGAGAGAGAGAGAGAGAGAGAGAGAGAGAGAGAGAGAGAGCUCUCCACACAGCCUUGGCUUUGCUUGGUUCUCCAUUGAGGUUUUCUUGGGUGACUCUGUUGAGCCCAUGAUGGCCACUGGGCACAGCCCGGAAGGGGGCUCCCCUGCAUGUUUGUGGCUCUGGUAUUAGAUGGCAGCUUCGCAUGCAAGGCAGCACCUGUCCUUCUUCCUAAGGACUCUGGGCCAGGUUAGCUGCUCUGCGAUGUCUCCAGAUGACAGUUGUUGGUAUGGAAAACCUGCCCCUAUAGUGGUUGGGAUAGAGUUCGAAAGGUCACGUCAGCAAAGCAAAGGUUGGUGCUGCGCCUGUGUGCACUGGUGCCAGGCAGCACUGCAGCCCCCUGGGCUGGUUCAGAAUAUUCAACAGUGGUGGGAAAUGGCAGAAGACAAAGGCCCUUACAGAGUCUGGAGGUGGGAAUGGGGCAUGCAGGGUUCUGGCCGGUCUGUCAUCCCUGGUGAUGAGCGUCUGUCUCACGCAGCUGCACCCCCAGCUCCCUUUCCCCUGGCUUCCAGUGUGAGAAGCAAGACCUUGACCCUCUGCCUGCAAUGCUACAGAAAGACCACACUUAGCUCUUCAGUUACCAAGAAUGCCCGCUCUCUCCAGGAGCAUCUAGAGGGCUUGAAGGGUCAUCAACCCCUUGCUCUCACCUCUUCCUGCCUUGGAAAAUUGCUGCAAACCUCACUAACCGAAUCUCACCAGCCCAGCCCAUGUUUUUAACACAAUUUCCUCCUGUUCUCUCUGUGUGUGCAUUUAAUCCUUGAGGUAAUAAUGUGUUGUAUUAAAAUUUUCUGAUGCACUGAAUUAAUUCUCAAGUAGAAAAGGCUGGGGACUUCAUUCUCAUUUCUGUCAUUUGUUUAAUAAAUUUAAGAAACAUUCUUUCCAUUGUUCCACUGUAUACCGUUUUGUCAGCAUGUACCUACCUGGGAGAAGACGCUCUGUUUUGAACAUUCUGUCUUGAUCCUUGGAGCAUGGCAUACCUUCUGUCCCCUGCACUGUUGGAACGCUGUUUGAUGUCUUUUCAACCCAAAACCUUGCCUAAAUACCAAUUUGUACCUGGAAUACCCUUUGUAGAACACAGCAGUCGCUCACCCAGCGGCACUUUGACAGACCGAAUCAUGGCCACCCAGGCGCCGGGAGAAGUGUACACUUGGCUUUUGUGGCCUCAUCUUCUCUCAAGGCCCUGCACCGUAUAAGGUGCUAUGGGGUGGGGCAAGCCCUUGGAGGAGAGCAAGUUCACUUUAAAGGGGGGCAGAUGUAGGUGGAACAGAGCGCAUCUGAGACAGCAGCUUACGUUGGGAGCUCACACAGCCAGCCGUCCACAGGCUGGGCUUUGCUAUUCCCAGUGGGAGUGAAACACCUGAUGCUGAUUGGCUUUGGUGGGAGGGAGUGGGGCGUAGCAUCUCCAUCAGACAAGCUCUUUGUCCCCUGGGUGGGCACCCACAAUGUGUGCUCCUCAGAUGCGCCCUGCUUUCACUUCUGCCUGUGCUUCCGUGUGGAGCCUCCGCACAGCAUGGACUCCUGUCACCCAGGAUGCUCUCUGUCUUCUCUGAUAGCCAUGAGUUUGGUGGCGAGCAUGGAAGACCAAACUCAUGUCAAAUGUUUGCAUGGUAUUAAUAUCUUGUGUUACUCUAAACUCCAGAGGCUUUCCUAAACCUUGUCCUAACGGGAAUCUUGCUGUUAACAAACCAAAAACCUGUUUGAUGUAACUGUUCUUUCCCACCGAUGGCUGAAGCUUUGUCCUUCCUACAAGAUGGUAUACUAGACUCCACGUUCCUCAGUGACACCAAGUUCACAAGUCCUCCGCCAUCUUCAAAGCAGGAUUCUCCUUUACCUUUGCCCUAGAAGUAAGAGCAGCCUUGUAUGCUCUCUGCCAUUUGACCCUAAGUGACACCCCCUCUGUCUGUCUGUCUGUCUGUCUGUCUGUCGCCUGUCUGCAAGUCCGACAUCACUGUUGCUUGUCUGAAUGGCUUGGUGAUGAAGUGUGAAGUGGAAGCUUAGCUGUUGUUGAGCUCGCCUUAAAGGAUGCUGGUUCUGAGGAACGCAUGUAACUUGCCCCCAGCCACCUAAGGUAUCAGGAAGAGGACACCAUCUCUAACACUGGUAAACUGUGACCUCACUCUUCCAUGUGGGAACCUUGCCAUUCCAGCCAGCUGUUGUCAUAGAGUCCGAUGGCCAGGGACCCACCUCUGAUUCAGUGUGGUGGGGAUUUUCUUGGGUGGUGAAUGCUCAGAAUAGAUGAUCUCAUUCGAAAUUUCAUUGUCUUCUUUCUUAGUGGGAAGUCGUGAGUUUAAAAAGAGCCCUGUGUUUCUUCUGUCUUUCCUAUGUAUGCCUCUAGAACUAACACAUUCUGAGUAUGUAGGUAAAAAAAAAAAAAAAAUCUAUAUUUUAGAACCAGGUAACAAAAGAUAGGAUUGUAGCAUCUAAAAACUUGCAAAAGACGUAAGUUUAUUCGGAGAAUAGUAAAGAAGUUUUGAAAGUAGGAGUUAAUCAGCGCCAUCAAUGUUCUCAUUUUAAUAAUUUAUCAAAUAACAAGUUUCUUUUUUUUUUUUAAUUGUCAGGUUUUCUGCUUCUCUUUUUACAGGAAAGAACCCACACGAAAUACCUAUCAAGUUAAAAAUUAGACACUAAUCAACUUACUGACUACUUUACAAAACAGGACAGGUUCAGAAGUAUGUGAAAUGCCAUUUUAAUUAUCUGAGAAAUAGAUUGGAUUUUUUUCUCACUCUCUCUUCCCAGAACUGGGUGAGUCUGUUUACACAGCUUUGGCCUACGCUGAAGAAGCAGAUCAUUAGCAGGGAGCUUGUGCCAGCCCUCAGAGGGGAUGAGAGGCAGGAAGCUGUGCCCGCUCCCUCUCAGGCCGUUUUGUCUCCUCUGAUGAAGAGCCUGUCCUGAGCCUCUGAGCUCAGCCUCCUAUGGGCCAGGAGAGAAUUAUGAAUGUAUUCUAAAUGAAAAUGAUAAAGCUGUAGAGGCAGGCUCUGGGAUAGGUGAUAGAUUGAAAUCCAUAAAAACAGCAGGGCCAAUUUGAAAUCCCAUAAUUAUUUGUGGAAUGACAAAGUGUCCAUUUAAGAAGAUUUGAAAAGGCCUUUGCCAGAAGUGUGUGCCCUUAGAGCAUUGUUGGUGGGGGAUUGCUGGCCCACCUCUUCAUGCAGAUUAGUGGGAGAGGAAGACAUUGCCGAGGAGCUACUAACCUGAGUGCCUGAGAAAAACUUUUAGAAGUAGGGAUUGGAAAUCUCCAGAGGUUUAGUGAGCAGUUGAUCUCUUCCCUAACACCUUGGAAUUCCUUCCCGCCUCUUGCCUUACUACCCGGGUGCUUCCUCGGAGGGUCGUACAGAAUUGUCUACCUGUAGCUCCCUCCCUCAUGAAGAAAUUUGCCUAUUCUCACUUGCAGUCAGGGAAGACAGGUUUAAAAAACAAAAGCCCACUCGUCAAUCAUUCCACAGCAUAAGGACAAAGGUGCCUGAUGGGUUCCUCUUCUCUGUUCCCACCACCUGUGGCUGUGCCUUCAAAACGGUUGUCAGACUUAGUGACCUUCAGUCCUGUGUAGUCACACUAACUCUACAUAACCUUGAACCCCGCUUGCUUUAGACAUGCCCUUCACACUCACCAGUCUGGACACAGAGCUGCCAGAUUCUCCCUAACUGUUCUUGCCAGCGUGUCUCAUUGAUUGCUGAGUGGGAAGCUGGGACAUCUCCCUUUGGGUCUGCGUCACCCGUAAGGUUUCAAGUCCUCGGGACAGGGCCUUGUCUCCAUAGGCCCAGCUUCAGAAACUCCGACGUCUCCUUCCUUAGCCUUGCUGACGGAUUCUUGGUCAAAGUGUUGGUUGGUGUUUGUCCAUGUCUUGGUCUGACAGUUUACCCACCCAGCCCUCUUCCUUUCAUGAGCAGACCCAAGAACCUCUUCGGAAAAGGAAAUUAACCACCCCAACUUGGUUCCCCACCCCCACCCCCUGUGAGGCAAUCAGACAUGGUCAGACCACAUGUGCCAAACCCUGCGAGCAGACCUGAGCUGUCACCAGCCUUUUCUAUCCCUUGGGCGACCAGGGCAGCCUUCUACCACCUCUCUGAGGUAGUCCAGUGAGAAUUCUUUUAAACCUAACCAACUCUAUUCUUUAAAAGGUUGUCAGGGCAUCACCUCUCAAGACCCAAUCUAUUGCUUAUGCUUCCAGCCUGACUGACGGGUCAGCUUUCUGCAAGCCUUGCCAGGGUAGGAGGGCAGGGACGGGACAGUUCAGCAAGAACCCUAGCUUUCACUUGUGGAGGGUGGUGUGUCUGUCUCUGAAUGUGUGAACCUUACUCUCUCCUUCAGUGGCAGGCAGCUUGCUCUCUGUCGCUGGAAGCUGUUCACAGCCUGCUGGUAACCCAUCUCCUCGCAGCCUGCCCCACUUGAAGCUAGCUUUCUAACAACUUUUUAUCCUUGGCUCCAACUCUCUCAGAGAGGUGAAUGCUUUUUCUGUGCCACACCACCGCAGCCCCAAGGCCCAGCAUGCUGUCACUUAUAACCUGCCCACCCGAUCUCGUGAGAGCUGACGGUAAGCCCCACAUUUAGCUAGAUGACUGGUGGGUAAACUCUGAAGCGACUCUCAACUCAGCCACUCACGAAUGCAUGGAAUGUUUUGAUCUUGACACGAAACUGCCAGAAUUUUCUCUUUUCUAACUUCUAUUUGUAGUGGUAACAUUUUUCUGUGAUUUUUUUUUUUUUAAAAAGAGAAUAGUGUAGUAUCUUGAAACAAUGCAAUUCCAGUGUGUCACUAUUUCUAUUUAACAACUUUCAUUCUUUCCUAAUCAUUGUAUCCAGUUGUGCACUAGUGUCAAUAAAAUUGACAUUUGUGAAGCGA
rnacentral:lncRNA from 1 species